rnacentral:rRNA from 1 species
ACGCACGCUGGCGGCGUGCUUAACCCAUGCCAGUCGAACGGAAAGGCCCUGCUUUUGUGGGGUGCUCGAGUGGCGAACGGGUGAGUAACACGUGAGUAACCUGCCCUUGACUUUGGGAUAACUUCAGGAAACUGGGGCUAAUACCGGAUAGGAGCUCCUGCUGCAUGGUGGGGGUUGGAAAGUUUCGGCGGUUGGGGAUGGACUCGCGGCUUAUCAGCUUGUUGGUGGGGUAGUGGCUUACCAAGGCUUUGACGGGUAGCCGGCCUGAGAGGGUGACCGGCCACAUUGGGACUGAGAUACGGCCCAGACUCCUACGGGAGGCAGCAGUGGGGAAUAUUGCACAAUGGGCGGAAGCCUGAUGCAGCAACGCCGCGUGCGGGAUGACGGCCUUCGGGUUGUAAACCGCUUUCGCCUGUGACGAAGCGUGAGUGACGGUAAUGGGUAAAGAAGCACCGGCUAACUACGUG